UCAAAGGAGACUGCCAGUGAUAAACUGGAGGAAGGUGGGGAUGACGUCAAGUCAUCAUGGCCCUUACGACCAGGGCUACACACGUGCUACAAUGGCGCAUACAAAGAGAAGCGACCUCGCGAGAGCAAGCGGACCUCAUAAAGUGCGUCGUAGUCCGGAUUGGAGUCUGCAACUCGACUCCAUGAAGUCGGAAUCGCUAGUAAUCGUGGAUCAGAAUGCCACGGUGAAUACGUUCCCGGGCCUUGUACACACCGCCCGUCACACCAUGGGAGUGGGUUGCAAAAGAAGUAGGUAGCUUAACCUUCGGGAGGGCGCUUACCACUUUGUGAUUCAUGACUGGGGUGAAGUCGUAACAAGGUAACCGUAGGGGAACCUGCGGUUGGAUCACCUCCUUACCUUAAAGAAGC
rnacentral:rRNA from 3 species